rnacentral:rRNA from 1 species
GCACUGCCCGGUAGCUAAAUGCGGAAGAGAUAAGUGCUGAAAGCAUCUAAGCACGAAACUUGCCCCGAGAUGAGUUCUCCCUGAGACUUUAAGUCUCCUGAAGGAACGUUGAAGACGACGACGUUGAUAGGCCGGGUGUGUAAGCGCAGCGAUGCGUUGAGCUAACCGGUACUAAUGAACCGUGAGGCUUAACCUUACAACGCCGAAG